AGUUACAAGUUGCUGGAGGGCAGCUGGUAUUAACUCAUCACCAGGGAGAGAGCACAGACAGGCAGGGGCAUGUAGUGCUCACUGGUCCUGUUCCUUCUCAUCCUUCCAGCAACUCCAAGAAAACAAUCUGAACCUAAGACAACAGACGCAGCUGCACCUGGGACAGCAGACACAGCUGGGCCUGGGACAAUGGACACAGCUGUACCUAGAAAAGCAGAAACAGCUGUGCCUGGGAAAAGGAACACAGCUGUGCCUGGAACAGCAGACCCAGCUUCACCUGGGACAGCAGACACAGCAGAACCUAUGAGAACAACCACUCCAACAGUUCUGGCCUCCUGGCCUUCUCUCACCCAGAGCACCAACAGCACCCAGCCCACGGCUCUUACCAGCCCCCUCACCAGGUGAGCAGAGCUGGGCUCCCACAGACCUUUCCCUAGGCUGCCCCAUGACUGCUCCUUCAGAUGCUCUCACCAGGGACCCUCAUGUGGCGCUCGUCAGGGGAGAAACAGUGAAGUCUGUAGUGGGCCUUCCCCUCCCUGUCUACACCUGAGCACUGCAGGAGAUUCUCCCUGAUGAGCUGCAACAGGCUGAGCUCCAGAGAGCAGGCUCUGGGCUCCAUGCUUCACCGAGUCCCUCAAGCCCCAGGAGGCAAAAGCGAGGUGAAGCUUUGGGUGCUCUGGAAGGGCAGCUGUCUGGGUGGCUUUCCUGUGGCUGCUGUAACUGAUCGUUACAAACUUUGUGGCUUAAAACAACACAGUCUCAUGAUCAUACAGCUGUGGAGACCAGAAGUCUGAAAUGGGUCUCACUGGGCUGAAAUCAAGGUGUUAACAGGGCUGGUUCCUUCUAGAGGCUCCAGCGGAGGGCCUGUUCCCUUGCCUUUUCCAGCUUCUGGAGGCCACCCGUGUUCCUUGGCUCAUGGCCCCCUCCUACCCAAAGCCAGCAAAGGUCGGUGGAGUCUCCCACAGAGCAUCGCUCCACUGUCUCUCCUGCCUCCCUCUUUCAUUUAUAAGGACGCUGGUGAUUCCACUGGGCUCAGCCAGAUGAUCCAGGAUAAUCCACCCUGGGUCACCUGACGAGCAGUCUCAAAUCCACCCACUGCCUUAAUUCCCCCUUGCAUGUAAUAAAACAUAUUCACAGGCUUUGGGGUUAUGACAUCGUGGGUGGGGUUCACUAUUCUGCCUACCACAGUCACAGGCAGGGGUGUGCCCAUCGCUCCAACUCUCCAGCCAAGGCUAGGGAAGGGCAGGGCGGGAGAGCGGGAAGCUGGGCCUCUUGCUUUUCUUUCACAUUCCCAGCAUGGUAGAUGGGUGUGGACAUCAAUCCGAAGCCCACCUCCUUUCGAGGGAUCAAUAGGAUGUCUCAUCACCGCGCAAAUGCGGCUGCCCCUGUUUAACCCCAUCACAGCCUGGUGCUUCAGGAUCCCUCAAAGUCCAGGGUCAAGGCCCAUUCUCUCCCUGGAUCCUGCCUUCCCUGCUCCACCGGCUCCCUUCUCCAGCCCAACUCCGUUCCUUUCAAAGGGUCUUGUUCCCUGGAGCCUGCCAGCACCGAUCCUGUGUUCCCUAGGAGUCCGGAAGAGGCGAGGCACUGGGGAUGCUUCCUGACCUGGCCUUCGUCUCGCUCCACUGUUUGCAGAGCGGUUGUUCUGCUGAGUGGGGAUGGCAGUGCCAGGACUUCUAGCGAGACGGGAGAGGCACAAGGGGAAACUUGGCGGGAAGAGACCAAGGGUGCGGCGGCUCCACGGGGAGUGGAACUUGCAAGAAGAACACAGUGGUUUAAAGGGUAUUUUUAGGAUGUGCAAUAUGGCAGGCCUGCUCUCACUCAAGAAAACUCUGAGUUAAAUUCACAUGACUCAUCACUGCUUCCAUGCCCUGGGCUGGAGGCCAGCUUCGGGGAGAGAACAGGGAUGGCCUGAGGGAAAGGGCCCUGGCACUGGGUGUAGGGGAGUGGAUGAGGAAUAAGACUGGGGAAUCAGACUCUUACACGCUGAUGGGGACUCCCCAGAACCCACUCGUUUAGCUAGACCAAAUAUUAAACAUGUGGGUGAUAUGAGGCAGCAGGUCUCAGAUCUGCUGUCAUAAAGUGGGUCCAAGCAGGAGGAGACCCCUCCCAGGAGAACCAAAUAGAUAAAUAGCCAGGUUGUUAGAAGUGGGGGAAUCUUCCUGUGCUUCAAAGAGGUAAUAAUAAUUAGAUUUGAGCUUGAAAGAUGGGCAGAAGUGACAAAGGGAGACACAAGGCAGAGAGAGGAGCAGAAGCAGGAAUACAGGACACAGCAGACCCUCGAGCUUGGCGGGACACAGGAUCCUGCUCUGCAACAUCCACUUCCUGCUCCCGAUCUCCCUGAAGGGGCUGCUGCUCGUGGGCCUGCUCUGCACUGUGCUGCAAGUGAGCAGUGCUAAGGGGGCCUCCAGGGGGAAAUAAAGUCACAGCCUGAGCCGGGGAACCGCAGCUCCCACACCAUCAACACCCUCGGAGGGGGCAAGCAGAACCUCUGGCCUCCUAUCAGCUUUCUGAAGAUGAGAAGUCCAAGAGCAUCGUAGUGGCAUCUGACAAGCGUCAUUCCAUGGCAGAAGACAAGACAGCAGGCAAGCCUCCUAGACAGAGAGAAAAAGGGGACUGAACUCAGCCUCUCAGGAAACCACUCUCACAAUAACUAACCCACUCCGGAGAUAACAGCAUUAAUCCACUCGGAGGACUGAGCUCUCAUGGCCUAAUCACCUCUUAAAGACCUCACAUCCCAAUGCCAUUACAUUGACAGUUAAGUUUCAACACGAGUUUCUGAGGGAACAUUCAAACCAUAGCAACCCUUGUGCCAUUUAUUCAGCAGAGACAACAGUUGCAGGCUUCAGUUCUUUCCACCAAGAGGACCAAACAAAUCUUCAGCCUUCUUGGUUCUGCUUUUAUAAUGUUUUCUUCUGGUUCCUUUUUUGAAAAUCUUAUCCCUACAGUUGUUUAUAAAAUAAAAGAAAUGGGAAU
rnacentral:lncRNA from 1 species